rnacentral:rRNA from 1 species
UACAUGGGGUGCAAACGUUGCUCGGAAUUAUUGGGCGUAAAGCGCACGUAGGCGGUUCGUUAAGUCGGAUGUGAAAGCCCUCGGCUCAACUGAGGAAGUGCACCCGAAACUGGCGAGCUUGAGUACGAAAGAGGAUCGCGGAAUUCCCGGUGUAGAGGUGAAAUUCGUAGAUAUCGGGAGGAACACCGGUGGCGAAGGCGGGUCUCUGGGCAGUAACUGACGCUGAGGAACGAAAGCGUGGGUAGCGAACAGG